GCCACAGCCUCGCCGGCCCCAUCCCCCGCCCCGGGCUCCUCGUGGAACCGCCCGCCUCCGACCAUCCUGCUCACCUCGCCCCGGGCCGGCUCGGGGCCCUGCACCGCCACAGGCUGCGGCUGCAGCUGCUGGGCAGGCGCCGGCGGUUCCUUGUUCCGGUGGUUAGGGUCUUCGUCGGGGGCGGAUCGAACCCCCACCGGGGCCCACAGUAGCGAAACCAGCAGGAGCAGCAGCAGCCCGGGCGCAGAUGCGCGGUCACUCCUCCCGGCCGCCGCCAUCCCGCCAACCGAGACGGCCGCGCAAGGGCACAGCAGGAAGAAGGGCCGGUGACUGGAAGACUCAGCCGCGAGCAGCCUCCGCGGUGCGACCCUCGUGUUCCGCACACCCCGCCAACUCUCAGUGAUGAACCGGCGCCACGCGGGAGGUGGGCGAGGCGGGCGCGAGGCUUAGGGGCAGACCGGCGACUGCAGCCGCCCGCUCAGCUAUCCUCCUCUAAGGCGGCGGCCACACAGCACUCAAACCAACUGUCUCAGCGCAGCCCGGCCUCAACUCUCCUGGGCGGAGCCCCUUGCUCGUGACGGUCUCCCAUUGGCCGGACGUCCGCCUCGGCGUCGUGACGUUCUCCGGCAGGUUGAGGUGCGGCUCGCGCACUCCCCUCAUUGGACCGCCUGCCUCAGGCAGGUACUGGACGCCUCCUGACCUUCCUCUCCGGUGCAUCCUUCCCGCGCUCCACCCGGAUCCGCUUCUCUUGUCUGUGUGCCUCACGGUGCCAGAUGUACGUGCCUCUUUACUUCUGCCGCUCUUGAGACUUCAGCUCUAACAUCCUGACCGGCCUUUUUCUACUCUUAUCCUUUCCUAGAUGUCUAAGUAGUUCAAGCGCCACUGGUUACGUGGCACUCGCGGGAACAGCCACACCCAGCCGCGUUCUGCCCACCCUCACCGGUUAUCAGUGCUGCCCUCGAAGCGGCGGACGCUGCGGAGAAUAUCCUUAGGGGGCUCAGAACAUGGUUAUUAAAAUUUAAAAAAAAAAAUCUCUGGCAUGGGAUUUCAGAAAUUGAAAUUUUUUUCAAGCCUUGUUUUUUAUAUUGUUUGCCUGCUAUUACUCUCAGACCUUCAACGUCUAACACUACCCUUGUCCUGGAACGACUUUCCAUUUUGGAUGCGCCUAUUUUGUGCUGCAUCUAUUUUAGGCUGGUCUCUAAAAAUGUUUGGCUUUUGAAAUUGAGUGUUCAAACCUUUUGCCGGAUGGGAUGGGGUAGAGAACAGUAGGCAAGAUGGUCGGUUGGGCUCGAGAAGAGUUUUACAUUUAAUAAAAAGAAAAGUUGAGCUAUUUAGUUAUCAGAAGUUUGACUAAGAGAUUUAGCCUCUUUAAAAAUGAGCAAAUAAUGAUAACCACAUGCCAGGCACUGUUCUAAGUACCAUAAAUCUAUAUGGUGUAUUUACCAUAUUUACAUAUGUUAAACCUGUACUCAGUGAAGAGCUCUGGGAGGGUAUCACUAAAUACUGGAACAAGAAAAUAAUCCAUGAAAACAGUCUGUGGCAAAGCGGGCAAACCUACUUUGAGUUCAAUGUAGAUAGCAUGCUAUGUCAUGGCACUUGUGAUGGUUUGAAGCUGUAUGUACCCCCAAAAAAGAACAUGUUCUUAAACACUUAUCCAUUCCUGUGAGUGUCGAUCUACUGCGGGUGGGACCUUUUGCUUAAGUUAUUUCAUUUGAGGUGUGCUUCAUGGUAGGUCUUAACCCUCUUACUGGAGUCCUUUAUUAGAGGAUAAAAGACAGACAAAAGACAAGAAAAAAGCCCCAGAGAAGCUGAGAAAAGAAGCCACUGAAGCUAGAAGCUGGAAGCAACAAAACACAGGAGGAAGGAAGAAAUCAGACAAUGCCCUGUGCCUGGCUAUGUGACAGAGGAGCUGAGGAUCACUGGUAGCUGUCUUUGGGGAGAAAGCAUCGCCUGUUGAUGCCUUGAUUUGGAUGUCUUCAUGGACUAAGAAUUGUAAGCUUGUGAAUUAAUAAAUCCCCAUUGUAAAAGCCAA